CUGUGGAGCUCUGUGAUACAAUAUGUAAUAAUAGAUGUUUUGUACAAUAUGAUUAGUUUAAUUUAUAAUUAAGGGAGCAAUGCAUUGAAUUUUACAGAGAUAUAAACCCUACCAUGUAAAUCAGAUUGUUCUCAUGGUCACCAAUGCGUUAAAUGCCGGGUGUGGAACCAAUACAACAAAUUAUAGUUGGCAUUGACGUGUUACAGUAUAUUAAACACUGGAUAUGACAGAGUAAAUCUGCAAUAUAUGUAGCCAUCGGUGGAGGAGAAGGACCAUUGUCAUGAAUUAUAUACAGAGAAACAAGUUAACAGCACAGCACACAGAUACAUGAUGUUUAUUCACCAGUUCAUUGAGAUUCUGUAAAACACAUUCACAUUUCAUAACACAAAAUACCUGGAGAUUAGUGAAUGCAAGGUGUGUGCUGCAGGCGCUCUUGGUUAAACGCCAUUAUUGAUCUGAUUGUACGGUGCACAGGAAGUGAUUGUAAUUAGCCAUUUAUUAGCAGCUGGGAACAAUGUGAGUAAAUGGGCUGCCGAGUCAGAUUGUUCAAAAGUCAUUUAGCUUCAACUUUCCACCUCGGCGUGGUUUCAUUCAGAUACCAUCUCCCAAGCUGUUGGGAGAUACAGGAAAAGUGUUGCUGGCAGGAUGCAGCAGUCACGCGUUAAAGGGACAAUAUGGUCAUCAGAACAACUACAGCUUAAUGUACAGUAUACAGCUUAUUGUAUAGUAUACAGCUUAAUGUACAGUAUACAGCUUAUUGUAUAGUAUACAGCUUAAUGUACGGCAUACAGAUUAUUGUAUAGUAUACAGCUUAAUGUACAGUAUAGAGCAUAAUAUAUAGUAUACAGCUUAAUAUAUAGUAUACAGCUUAAUGUACGGCAUACAGAUUAUUGUACAAUAUAGAGCAUAAUAUAUAGUAUACAGCUUAACCCCUUCAGGACGGAGUCAAUAGUACACGUUCUGAUCAAAACAAAAGGUAAACUAAAACUGGAAUUUGCGCUACGUGUCUGUUCAACCGUAAUUCACCGCUGUCACAUUAAGUGCACCCACACUUAUUAUAUAUCAUUUUGUUCAGGAGAAACAUGGCUUUAAGUUAUCAUUAA
rnacentral:lncRNA from 1 species